GAUGAACGCUGGCGGCGUGCCUAAUACAUGCAAGUCGAGCGAACAGACGAGGAGCUUGCUCCUCUGACGUUAGCGGCGGACGGGUGAGUAACACGUGGAUAACCUACCUAUAAGACUGGGAUAACUUCGGGAAACCGGUGCUAAUACCGGAUAAUAUAUUGAACCGCAUGGUUCAAUAGUGAAAGACGGUUUUGCUGUCACUUAUAGAUGGAUCCGCGCCGCAUUAGCUAGUUGGUAAGGUAACGGCUUACCAAGGCAACGAUGCGUAGCCGACCUGAGAGGGUGAUCGGCCACACUGGAACUGGGACACGGUCCAGACUCCUACGGGAGGCAGCAGUAGGGAAUCUUCCGCAAUGGGCGAAAGCUUGACGGAGCAACGCCGCGUGAGUGAUGAAGGUCUUCGGAUCGUAAAACUCUGUUAUUAGGGAAGAACAAAUGUGUAAGUAACUAUGCACGUCUUGACGGUACCUAAUCAGAAAGCCACGGCUAACUACGUG
rnacentral:rRNA from 1 species